GCCAGCAUGGUGUAGUAGUGGUUUGAAUGUGGGACUACAACUCUGGAGGCCAGGGUUCAAAUCCCGGCUUGGCC